rnacentral:rRNA from 1 species
UACAGAGGGUGCAAACGUUGCUCGGAAUCAUUGGGCGUAAAGCGCACGUAGGCGGCCCAGCAAGUGGGGAGUGAAAGCCCUCGGCUUAACCGAGGAAGUGCUUUCCAAACUACUGGGCUUGAAUACUGGAGAGGAUCGCGGAAUUCCCGGUGUAGAGGUGAAAUUCGUAGAUAUCGGGAGGAACACCAGUGGCGAAGGCGGCGAUCUGGACAGAUAUGACGCUGAGGUGCGAAAGCGUGGGGAGC